CUGAGCUGCAGAUCGUAACAUGGUACCUUGAUUUUUUUCUUGUCACUGGUGGAUACCCGAAGUUGGGGAGAUUCCAGAGACCUAAAGUUAACCUACCAGGUGGCUCUUAGGACCCAGCUGCUGUUUAGAGCACUAUAUAUAGUGCUUUUAUACAUUUUGAUCUUAAAAUUGAAAAACACUGGAUCCACGUGAGCUCAGAUGGCUGCAGGUUUGCAUAGACACUGACAUCAUCUAAAUUCAACAAAUCCCAAAUAAAAAAUGUUGGCUGCUCAGUACCACCUGUUCCAGCAAUGGUGUAUUGGGCCUUUCAGAUGGUCCCAAUUUCUCUUGGAAAAGCAUGGAAAACUGUAUCCAGAACUAUAAUGGAGCAAUGUGGGGACAUCAAGGACCAGACUUGUUCACACAAGUUCUUACUUUAGUGGAUCAUCUUUACCAGCAGUAUUGCUCAAACAUAUAUAGAUCACUUAACAUAAAUACAAAUUAUACAAAUUCUACAUUUGAAUCUACAUCAUCAAUAAAAAUGAACCCAGUAAUUGUA